GGGCCCGCACAAGCGGUGGAGUAUGUGGUUUAAUUCGAUGCAACGCGAAGAACCUUACCAGGGUUUGACAUCCUGCGAAUCUCUUGGAAACAGGAGAGUGCCUUCGGGAACGCAGUGACAGGUGGUGCAUGGCUGUCGUCAGCUCGUGUCGUGAGAUGUUGGGUUAAGUCCCGCAACGAGCGCAACCCACGUCUUUAGUUGCCAGCAUUUAGUUGGGCACUCUAGAGAGACCGCCGGUGAUAAACCGGAGGAAGGCGGGGACGACGUCAAGUCAUCAUGGCCCUUACGACCAGGGCUACACACGUGCUACAAUGGUAGGUACAGAGGGCAGCUACACAGCGAUGUGAUGCGAAUCUCAAAAAGCCUAUCGUAGUCCAGAUUGGAGUCUGCAACUCGACUCCAUGAAGUAGGAAUCGCUAGUAAUCG
rnacentral:rRNA from 1 species